GGCCUCCUGUGGCUUACCAUAGGCCAUGUUACUGCACUGACUGUAUAAAAAGAAAAGGCAGAGUAAACUGAUUCCAUAUACACCUUCGUCUAGGUGCUAGACCUUGUCUAAAUUGUGAAUGAAGGUAAUAA
rfam:Tupaia chinensis contig195578, whole genome shotgun sequence.